GAUGAACGCUAGCUACAGGCUUAACACAUGCAAGUCGAGGGGCAGCAUGGUCUUAGCUUGCUAAGGCCGAUGGCGACCGGCGCACGGGUGAGUAACACGUAUCCAACCUGCCGUCUACUCUUGGACAGCCUUCUGAAAGGAAGAUUAAUACAAGAUGGCAUCAUGAGUCCGCAUGUUCACAUGAUUAAAGGUAUUCCGGUAGACGAUGGGGAUGCGUUCCAUUAGAUAGUAGGCGGGGUAACGGCCCACCUAGUCUUCGAUGGAUAGGGGUUCUGAGAGGAAGGUCCCCCACAUUGGAGCUGAGACACGGUCCAAACUCCUACGGGAGGCAGCAGUGAGGAAUAUUGGUCAAUGGACGAGAGUCUGAACCAGCCAAGUAGCGUGAAGGAUGAAAGGUCCUAUGGAUUGUAAACUUCUUUUAUACGGGAAUAAAGUGCAGUAUGCAUACUGUUUUUGUAAUGUACCGUAUGAAUAAGCAUCGGCUAACUCC
rnacentral:rRNA from 1 species